GCCCUACAAUCAUCUCUUUACAGCAGAGAUAAGGCCUUCAGAUAGAUAUGGCCGCAUAAAUCGCACCGAUGGAUCCAGUCCUUCGCUAGGUCCAACCUACCCUGCACCAGCCUCAAGCACGUUAUUCAGUCAACGCAUAUUCUGUCUUUUGGCAUGUGUAUGCUUGCUCUUGUGCUCAUGUUGUAAUCGUGACCUGUAAUCAGUCCAUGAUCCUUGUGUGACCAGAAGUUGGGCAUAACUGCAUUGUUACUGAGAAGAUGUGAAUAUUAACUUAGGGAUCGGAGCUGAAGCUCUAGCCGAUAGCAAAGAUAUGAAGUCUGUGCUCUGUCUUAUGUUUGCAAGUAUAUUGAUGUAACUUCACAUCUUGAAUGGAGUCACUCCUAUGUGUACUGCCGCUGUAAUUACACAACAUGAAUUUUCCGUUUUUGUGAUCAGAAAUUUUGCCAAGAAACUUGUUGGAUUAACUACGAUUUUGUCCUAUUUACUACUAGCAUUUAUUCUUAUCUCUCAACAUAUUCUUGCCCCUAUCUAGGACAGUCGGAAGAAGAGAGCUUCGACUGGGAAACAGCGUGUUGAAGCAAUACCUCUUGUUGAACCACCCAAAACCAAAGAAGCCUCUUAGAUUGCGAGAGGCCUGUUGUGUUUAGUAAGAAACUUGGCGUAAAAUAUCCAAAAUAUCAGGAACACUAUGUAUUGGGCAGACCUGAAAUACUAAUAUAAGUGUAUCCAAUUUUUCCUACGAUUCCCUUCCUCGCCCAUGGACGUGGACCACGUCUUUGGCUUUGCAAGUCCAAGGCUCCAAGCUAGGCGUUAUUUUUCAUAAAGUUUCUAUCGAUUUCUAAUCAAAAUAUUUCUAUUAGCGUAACCCUACCUGGCAACCUCCAUCAGCCGGAGGUAUUCCUGGAGUCAAGGCAAGCAUGUUGACCAAUUGACGUAAAUGUGCAAUGUAAAUUUACCUCGGCGCUUUGUUUUUGAAUGUGAUGGCGUUGUCUGAUACGUCUCCUCCGCACCAUAAAUUUACGUAGGAUUAGAUUAAUGUUAAAAGGCCCGUAGCGCAUCAUGGUUUGUUUUUGUUUCUAAUAGCUCCACUUGUAGAUUUAUCUUCCCUAUGCAUCCAUCGGCCGAUACAUCCUCUACAUCAUCGACAAGGAGGCACGUCGUCUAUAUAUUAUGGAUCCUAUUCAAUCAUCACAAUCGUCAGAGGAUAAAAACUUGAGGCAUUCACUGAAAUUAAAAAGUUUUUCAAGGGAUUUCAAAGAAGCACUCGAAAUAAAGCUGCCUGGGUGGAAUUUUGAUAUAUCUAAAUGGCAUCGUUUAUUUCCGGCCGGUGUUCCAACGAGUAUAGACGGGUAAUGAAUUCAUAACAAGAAUAUUUACUUUUGUUAUCAUUAUAUUAUUUAUAAUAUUAAUUGAAAGUUUUCCAGGAAUGUGUCUGGCUAUUUUGUUUUUCAUUUUAUGCUCUGGUGGAACGGUAAAGAAUUGGUCAAGCCGGUUUGCGCGGUGAGUAUUGUGGGUUACAUGUUUUAAGACCUUCUCUGUGAAUUUUUCAUACUAACUACAUUUAUUUUUUCUGCAGGAUGGGUAUGAAUUGAGGAAGCAUUUUUUAUUAUACUUGCUAAAACAUCGCGGGAAUGAAGCCAGAGGAAACUUUCCUGAUAUUGUGAAAGAAUUUCUUAAGCGCAUCAUCUAGAUAUUAGUAUUUUUGUAAUAGAUGUUAAGUUGUAACAUCACUCAGCUUGUUACAUUGCAAUAAUGGACUCCAGUUUGUGUUAUAUUGUUUGUAUGUGUGGAUUUUAACAUGUAACUCUGGUAAACUAUUUCAAGAGCCCGUGGCAACGCACGGGCACUCUACUAGUUCUUAUAAGUAACGAGUUCAAAGGGAUUGACAACCCUCUUGCCCGCGUUGGGCGCAAGUAUUUGCUCUUGUGUGUAGGUGUUGUUCACUAGAUGUUUAUGUGAUUUUUCUAUUGGUUCGAUAACCUUGGUUCUCACCGAGGGAAAUAUUAUCCGCUACUAUAUUGCUUCACCUUUUUUUCGGGGAAAAUCCCAACGCAAGUCACAAGUAGCAUAUGGGUCAACAGUAAAUCCUAGUAAAAUAUCCUAUAGAACCCUCAAGUCAUGUGAUUAUAAGUUGGUUGAUCUUUAUGUGGUCAUUGGAUGAUCACAAAUAUAGAUCGGUCUCCAUGUGGUUAUGCUCACAAAAAAUACUAUGGAAUUCUAAAAUAGAUGUUCUGGAAUUCUAAAAUACUAUGGAAUUUAUAGAACACUCACGAAAAAUAAACUUAUACUCCCUCCAUUCCUAAUAUAAGUCUUUUUUAGAGACUAGCACAUAUGCCUGUGCGUUGCAACGGAAAAAAUGAUGUUUUAUGUAAGCAUAAUGUCCCACAGCACCGGAUUCAUUGCAACACAACAUCCUUCUAUAAAAUGAACAUAAAAAAAUAUGUUGCAAUUUAGCCGUGUUAAUAUUUUCUUUGCCGGGCAUAAUCUCCCACGGAUUCCAUUUAAGUAUAUUUAAUGGAAUUUAAGUAUAAAUGAUUUCAUUAAUUACCAUGACAUCGUCACCCGUUUUAGUUGGGAAUUAAAUCCUUCCCUUUCCAAUUUAGUAACCCCAACAUAUUGAAGCCUAUAGAUCCUUCCUUUUAAUUAUUCUACCUUUUACCUCAAGUCCUUUAUGUAGAAUUUCUUAAGACCAUAAUAUUUCUUUUAGUUAUUCCACCGGUGUACCCAUAAUCUCUAUUCAUAAUGUCUGAGUUGGUGAAUAGUCUCCAUGAUUUAUUUUCAUCCCACCACUUUCAACCUUUUUUUCGCUGGUUUUUUUCCGUCUCCGCUCCCACCAUCCAACCGGUUUACUUUUUCUUCACUAUUUCCUUGUAAACAAACACUUUCCCAUUGUAUAUAAGACAUAGAUCCUAACUUAUCCAAAUCAAGCGAUCCAUCUCAUCAAUGCAAUUUGCUUUAGGAAACAAAUAACAAAUUCUAAGGAAACAAAUAACAGAUUUUAAUGAAAAAUCCAAUUGACUCUACUCCUAACCUCCCUCCUCUUUGUUUUUUUUUUCGCAUCAGCUCUCACCACCUCUCCCGGCAGAAAAAAAAAAAACAUAGGCCACCCCUGCUCUCGAUCCACCCUGUCCCGAUGCGACCACUCUUUUCCCUCUUCACGAUGCGCCGCCGCCCCCAUCUCCCGCUCCACAGCUGCCGACCCCUACCUUCCCCUAUCUCCCGCUCAGCCACCUCACCACCCCCACGCUUCUCCCAUCACCGGACAGAGUUUGCUGCGCAACGGCGGCGGCCUCGGAUCUGGGCUAUGAUUGAACUUAUCCGGGAGGAGGUCGUCGAUGAGCCACCGGUGGCGGAGCCGGGCCAGAGCGGGAAGAGGUCGUCGACUUGGGGCGGCAGCGGAAUGGGUCGGAGGUCGAGUCGGGGCGGCGGCGGGGGUCGGAGGUCACGAAGGUGCCCCGGCCGACGCGACGCGCAGCACCGCAGCUUCCUCAUCCUCUCCUUCUUGUUGUUGUAGUUUCCAUUCACAUGUUUUAUCUACAAAAUCUCCCAUAACGACUACUUGUUGCCUCUUAGUGGUUUAUUUCUUUCUUUCAGAUUCAGAUGGAUGCCUCUUCUACAUAAUUCAUCAGCUGCAGCCUGCAGCAGGACAAGCUUAAUUAUAUUGGUGGCUCUUUAAAGGAUUAAUUGGUAACGAGCAUUUCUAUUGAGGAGAGGAUAAUAUGUCCGGGACAGCAUCUGCGUUUUGAUUUUGAAAAGUAAGAAUCAAGAUUGCCAAGGUUAGGCGGUGGAGCUCCACGUCCUUGACGUGCGCAUGCUCGUCAAGGAAGCGGCUCCCGAAUCUGCUCUCACGCGGCCGUGACGGAAGGGGCUCGAGAUGGCCGCCGCCGCCGCCGAAGACCAAUCCCCGACCUUGUCCCAAAUCACUUCCUCAGCCAUGUUCCACUGAGGAAGGAGGGGACGGCACAGAGAGGGUCCUCACACAGUCGUGCGGUCGACCACUACGACGCGGCCGUGCGGUGGGUACCCUCGGACGCCGCACUCCCGGGCCGGAGGGAGUCCAGAUCCGGCACAUCACAAAGGUUGCCGCGGCAGGGUGUAUGCACCUGCCUUGGGAAUCCCAGCCCGGCCAUCUUCUCCCCCGAGUUGCAGCGGCGUCGAACCCUAGAUGCACCUCUGCCCGUCCCCCAACUCCCUCCUCUUGAUUCUCCGUCGUGAGACUCCACUCAGUCCAACUCUGUGGGUGUAGGUAAACCACUUCGUUCCUCUCCUGUGCUUUCUCUUGUGCUCUUUGUGUCCAUACCAUGGCCGUUGAGCCAUGCAAAGUUCUACGCUGGCCAUGGAAUUUUCUAGGAUUUGGGCAUGUGGUGACGGUCUUCUCUGUCACUGUUUCACUGGAUUUACUCCCUCCGUUCCAGAAUAUAAGGUGUAUUGGUUUCCGUGCAAGUCAACCAUUUGAAUGUUUGACCAAGAUUAUAGAAUAAAAUAAAAACAUUUGCAAUACCUAGUAGAUAAAAUAUGAAACUACUUUUUAUGAUGGAUCAAAUGAUAUAAAUUUCGUAUUGUGAAUGUUGAUACAUUUUUCUAAAAACUUGGUCAAACUUGCACUUGUUUGACUUUUCAAAAAACAAAUACACCUUAUAUAAAGGAACGGAGGGAGUAUUAUUUAUCAAUGAACGAAUCUAUCUAGCUGUGCCGUCAGACAUUUUAUCCGCGGAUGAUCGACGCAAAUCGGCAGCAAGGACAGUUUUUGUUUUCUGGCCUAUGAAAGCUAUGUCUCUAAAGGAAGGAUCACUCAAAGUGGUUUUUUCAUUAACCCACACAUAGGUGCACUACUUGAAAGUCAUGCACCCCGAGAUAAACAUGGUUCAGGAGUGCCUCUGUUUCUAAAGUUGUUGUUUAUAAAAUACACCAUUCAUAUCUACUGCCCUUCAUCAUGCUUCCAAACUGGAAAAUAAUGCACAACUUGGGCCCCAAGUAUAAUUAAUUCAGGUUUGCUAUUUCACAUCUAGAUGUGAAAUAGCUAUCUCACAUCUAAAUGCAUAGCCAUUGGAUUUUGUCCUGUCUUUGAGAUUCGCGCGUACAACUUUGUUCGUCCUGCUUCGUGCGCGCUCGCGUCGCUGGUGCCGUUGCCUGUCUCGCGGCCCGUUCUUUCCCGUGGAUUUUGCGUAGCGGGCCGUUGUUGGUUGGGCUGGCGGGCCGUUUUUUGUCUCUGUGGGAGCAGGUUCGUGAAUUAAUGGGCGGCGAUUCAGUUUUGUCCUCUUCACAUGCUUCUGGUGACGGCGACUUUUGGAGAGCUACAAGAAGAGAGAGACGCAUUGGAGUGGCGGUGAUUGUUUGGGAGCGAGAAGGGGAGGGGGAGGAGAGGAGCAGCCAAGUUAAAGUGGUGUGCACCGGCGGUAUUAAAUUAGUGUGUUAGUCACUGAAUGGUUUUCCGAGCAAACAAUUUUCUACUUGUCAUGUUUUUGAGGAAGAGAGAUAUGACCCACCCCUGGUUUUGUAUUUUUGAAUGUUGGGGUUGAUGCUAUGUACAUAUAUGUAUGCAUUUUUUUAUUGAAUCAUGGGCUGCAUUAAAACUGAAGAGUUGAGAUUGAAUUUGAA